rnacentral:rRNA from 1 species
UACGGAGGGUGCGAGCGUUGUCCGGAAUCACUGGGCGUAAAGGGCGCGUAGGCGGCGCGGAUAGUCGGCGGUGAAAGCCCGGAGCUCAACUCCGGGUCGGCCGUCGAUACUUCCGGGCUUGAGCACUGUAGAGGCAGAUGGAAUUCCGGGUGUAGCGGUGGAAUGCGUAGAGAUCCGGAAGAACACCGGUGGCGAAGGCGGUCUGCUGGGCAGUUGCUGACGCUGAUGCGCGACAGCGUGGGGAGCAAACGAGGAUUAGA